UUAACGAGCAAUUUAAGCUGCUUCGAAAUUAAUCUAUCCGACAUGUAUCUGAAAAUGAACCAAGCUAAUCGAACGAGAUAAAAAUGUAAAUGCAAAUCUUCACGCUGUGCCGGGCAGCGUUUUAUUUAAUUAAGAGCAUUACCGUCCGAAAUCUCGUAUUGAUGUUGAAAUCUACCAAAAAGCGGCACAGACAUGCGAAACACCUAUACACUGGGAUACGCAAUACAUGGCCGAGUAUUUUCCUGUUUAUUAUUAAAAUAUUCCACCUCGUUACGUGACGGCUGAUACCGGGUUGUGGUGUAUCCUGUGAUACAGUAUAUGAUAGAAAUUAUUUCCUCGCUAAUCGAGUGAAUUACAUAUUGCCUUCGAGUGUUUCAUUAAUUACCGUAAAUCGAGCGACGUAAAAUAGUCUGAAGCACAUCCGCGAUCCAAUGAAAUUUCAUGUAUCCCUUUACGCCAUCUUUCUGCCAGCGAGCACAUUUAAAAUCAAUCUGUGUACCGGUUCAACCAUAAAUCGCAUAUCGAUUUUCGUAGCCGUAAUUCGAUCAAAGAUCCCUGUUUACCCUGCGCGAUAUGCAACGUUCAUUCGAUUAAACCGAGCGAGGCGUGUAUAUCAUGAGCAACAACGUUCUACAUAUAUAGAGAAGGGGAAGAGCAAAAAAUAAAGCGAAGAAAAAGAAGAAGUUACGUAGAAUGAAUGAAAUUCGUCGGCAACCCCACACUCUGCCCAUGGAUACACACAUACGCGGAACAAUUGUUUCGCGCAGUGUCAAGGUAACGACGCGAUGGUAUCGCUGAGCAAUUAUGAACAUGGAAAAAAAAAAAGAAAAAAGAAAAACAGAUUGUACGAACAGGUAACAAAAAACAAGAAAGAGAGAAAUGUUUUGAAGUAAAAAAGAAAAGAAAAAUUAGGUCGCGAGUCAGUUUCGCUCGAUUGAAGUCGGUUGAUAUCUGUCUGUCGUGCGCGCAUCGUCGAAAUUCGCCCGUCGAUUUUCACCAGUAGUGAAUAUAUCCGUGAGAAGAGGGGUGGCCCGAGCAUUACCGGUUGAACUCUCUGUUGACGGAUCACGUGGCAGAAUUCAGGCAUCUCCGUUGGCACCGGCAGCCGAGCUGAUUUAUUGAGUGGCGUGGCAUUGCUGACCUCACUCUCGCUACGGCUAACGACACUAAGAGAGCUCUUGGUAAUCUGCCGAAUGCCAACGAUAUCUACCCAAGUCGAAAUUAUAUGCCCGUGCAACGGAUUUAGCUCAUUCAGCUACCGAAUCUCUCUCUCUCUCUCUCUCCCUAUUAAAAUCUUUUUUCUCUCCCUAAAGGCUUUUUGAUUUAUUUACAAAGUCGUGGCUUCCUCCGUCACAUCGAUCAUUAAAGAAUUGAAUAUUAUGAAGCAACAGAUGAUUUCUUGUUUGAAAAUUGGACUCAAAGUUUUGUGAAAGCAUACCAAGGAACGAAUACUCUGAGAGUUUUACAUAAAGGAUUAAGUCAUGUGAGUAAGUGAUUCUCCAACUACUUUGAUCAGCGAAUAAAUACAUGCUCCUCGCUCAAACCUGUUUCCAGUUCCAAAUUAUUUUUUCGAGGGAUCAUCAGCGCGUGUAACAGCGUACGACAAGUGAUUCGCUAUAAAUCAACGUUCACAGUUUCACAUAGUCACAUUAAGGCCACUGGUGAUGUGUCAAGUAUUAUUUGUAAAUGAUCCUUAUAAUAGCCAGUUACAGUAACUGGCUCCGGUCGAAGGAUUAUUGGAGCACAAAAAUGAGCUGUAACUUGGAAAUAAGGUCAAGUAACUCACAUGUUACCAAUAUACGUACUACAUUGUACGAUGUAGUAAAUUAAACAUAAAGUGCAUCCUCAAUCCGAUGACGUAUCGUUUGUGUAUCUCGAGUCCAAGAAUAAUUGUUGAUUACGUAUAAAGAUAAUCAACACACUCUUAAUCAGUGCUCGACAGUGUGUACGUGCACAUAAUACAUCCUUUUUUCAAUGAAUAUGUAGUUAAUCGAUAAACUUCGAUGCUCUCUACCAUUGUAAGAAAAGAAAAGUUAUACGAAAUGAGUCUAUUUCUAAUUAGAAGUUUCGCUCGAUCAUCGUUGUAAAUAUGUAAUGAGAUUAUCAUGAAAUCAUUGCGACCAAUGAACUUGUUUUAUUGUAACCGUACACUAUACAUAGAAAGCCACAUAUAUAUUUACACGCACCCAUUGUGUGUAGAAUUGUGUUGUCGUGUGAAAAGACUGUUCUUACGUAACGAACUCGGCAAGCUCGACGUGACACUGACCUCACUCUAAAUCCAUAAGUGGCUGUUAAUUAUCGAUUGGCAACGAUUUCAACGAUUUCACCAAUGGAGGAUGAAAGCACAACCGAAGAAGGGUGAGAUGAAGGAGGAUGGGGAAAAGCCAAUACACAGAGUGGCCUGCUAAUCAGUCCGCUCCGAUAUCGCAAUAUGUGGGAUACGCUCGGUUGAUUUUCAACACGACGAGUUUACCCUAACGUAAUUAAUGUCCGUCGUACAAUGUGACGUGUAACGACAAAUUCGAACGACGUCGCUAUUCAUAGAAAGAGAGGAUAGAGAGAAAGAGAAAGAGAGAGAGAGAGAGAGAGAGAGGAAUGAGAGGAGAAGAGAGUAGGAGAAAAAAGAGAUUACCGGUGAUCGUGUGCACGGUCUACAAAGUCAACGCGGUGUGUAGCACGUUUUUAACCGAAUCAAUUAUAAAUAAAUGUUCUCCUUUUAAGAGCGUCGUGUAUUUUCAGAUUCCAUUCACCCAUCGUGCUUCCAUGUCCCGUGAACGAGACGGACGGCCUGCCUUCCCAUAACGGUCUAGAUGAAUUUAUAACUAAAUGAUGCAUCAGACACACAAAUACAACGAAUACAUCGUGCCCGUUUUGUAAUGGUCUAGAGCUAGCAGAUCUUUAAUUGCUGGCUCGUAGACAGAAUGUGACCCGAUUGUGUGCGUUACAGCGACCUUUCGAGGCGCCGCGGUUGAUUAUAGGCCGCUCAAAAUAAUUAAUCGAUCGUUUACUUUGAUUAUAUCAUUCAGAUAUGUUCGUCUGGAGAACUUUGAUGUCUCUUAAAUGCCAGAACUAAAUUUAAGCAAUUUAACAGAUAUCACCUUGCCAUUCAAUUUUUUCUUAACGAAUAGCACUUAAAUUAUACUGCAAAAUUAUCCGACACUUCGGAUUUUAUUUUCAGAUGUACUUUAAGAGAUCCUCGCAUUUUAAAUGCAGGCAAAAAAUGUCCUGCAUUCAAACGAAAGGAUAUUGUUAGCAAAAGCUCAAUAGUCAUACGAUUUUAAGAGUGUCUCAAAAUACAUACUGUUCGCCUCAUUUGAGCAACAGUGGAAGAUUACUUUGAGCAAUGCAACCGAACACGAGGCGGAUAGGCGAGAACGGUGUAGGAUACACGUUCAUUUCUGAAGCGAGCUGUGUAUCAUCAUCAUCAUGCACGGUCGAGUGGAUCAUUUUUCAUUUAUGCGCGCCGGAUAAUGUGUAUCAUUGAAUAUGUCACUAAUUGCUCGACAGGAGGAUAAACAUUUUUUGCGGAGAUAAAUUAAACGGUCGCGACGCUGGACAAGAUAAUUAAGUAUUACGCCGAAGAACGUAAGGGCACGAUCAGAGGAAACGACGACGACAACAGCGGCGGUCAGCCUCCAGUCAAGAGAAGGAAGGGAGAAAACACGUCGGAUAAGAAAGAAUCUGUGUUCGAGUCACCAAUUGUCUUCGUUUCGUGAUUCUAACGUAGCGUACAAAGUACAUUGGGAUGUGUGUUAUUAUGAAACAAGCGAACGAGUAAUAAAUGAAUAAACGGUGAGAGCAGUCGAGCAAAUGGCAGAAAAGAAAUUUACUCAUCGGGUAGGACGAAAGAUCCAAGCUAUUUCAAAACUUUUCCUCCACAUUAUGCGAUCUGUACUUCGUCCAAGAAUGAUCAACAGGCCGUCUUCAGAGUCUCUUUUACAACUCCCAGUUGGAGUUCCUUUAUGCGAUAACAAUACCCUUAAUAACGUAAAAAAUGGACUUAGAUAAUUCGACAGUAGUUUGCAUGACGAACUUGCUAAGAGAAUACAACGUUCCAUCGCUAUUGUCUCUACGAUUCGUACGUGACACCUCUGGCAGCAGUUUGACCUCUGCAUACAAUUCUCCUGCUGCGAUUUCUGAACGAAUAGUUGUUUUCAUUUAAAAGAGACCAAUAGAACAAUGAAUCAUAAUGUACAUUAUGCUUCGAUUUCGAAACAUUGCAUAUGAUGACCCUGUUAUUUUCCGGUGACUGUGUUUGAUUGUUCCAUGAUUAUUUUUAUAAAAGCGGCUGGCAUAAUGUUUCAUUUCAUAGAACCACCAGGUUUAAUUUAUCAGCGUUCCAAUUCUCAUUGAUACGAUGGCAAAUGUUCGUUCGUUUAUACGCAGAUUUCAUGAUUGUUUAUCGACAAUUUCAUGGUUUUUACAUACAUACAUGUAUUAUCCGUUCGAAAAUGAAACGAAUAAUACGUAUUUAGGAAGAAUCAUUACAUCAUUAUGAUUUCGCGAUGAAAGCAAUUGGAGGUCAUCUACUGAUACGGCAGAGAAGCAGAGAUAAUAGCUUUUUUCCGAACAAUCUGCAUCGCAAAUGAUCGACGAUAUCUGUUUGUUUCGCAUUGGAAAACAGUGUUAUGCUUUGCAAUUUGCGCGAAAGAAAAUGGUCAAAACGCGAUAGGCUAGUCGACCGGUUGACAUUGCUGCUUUUAUUUAUCAAUGAAAAUUAUAGCUCGUUAACGAAGACGAGCGUGUCAGUCGAGUUGGUAUCGCAGUGUGCGGUAAAAAUAGCGAUUAGCGAUUGCGUCCGCGAUAAAUCAUGAUAAAAGGUGCUAUGUAGUGGCGUGAAAGAGCUUUCGCUGCCUCGUAGACGCAAUGUAACACCACUAGCGUUGCUUCUUUUUUUGGCUCACGCCGACUAGAGAUAAUAAGUUCGAUUUAUGUUCACUUCGAUGUAUCGUGGAUAAGGCUCCGCGUAAUUAAAGCCUUCUAUUUCGAAAUGAUCUUGAUUGGUGUACACCAGGCUUUUCCACAGUACUUGAACUCGUUUUCAAACGGCGUUUAUGCUUCAGUAAUUUCAAUCAUAUUUUCCAGAUUAUAUACCCUGUUCCAAAUAUUCGUCUAAUCGUGCGAAACAAAUCAUAUUUUCGGCCAAAAUAUUUGUAUACUUCUUAUUUAAUCAUGAAAUACUAUGUUCCUUUUAUUUUUAUUUUAAUCACUUCUAAGAGAUGAUAGCUAUUCGUUAUUCGUA